rnacentral:rRNA from 1 species
UGGGGAAUCUUAGACAAUGGGGGCAACCCUGAUCUAGCCAUGCCGCGUGAGUGAUGAAGGCCUUAGGGUUGUAAAGCUCUUUCAGCUGGGAAGAUAAUGACGGUACCAGCAGAAGAAGCCCCGGAUAACUCCGUGCCAGCAGCCGCGGUAAUACGGAGGGGGCUAGCGUUGUUCGGAAUUACUGGGCGUAAAGCGCACGUAGGCGGACUGGAAAGUUGGGGGUGAAAUCCCGGGGCUCAACCUCGGAACUGCCUUCAAAACUAUCAGUCUGGAGUUCGAGAGAGGUGAGUGGAAUUCCGAGUGUAGAGGUGAAAUUCGUAGAUAUUCGGAGGAACACCAGUGGCGAAGGCGGCUCACUGGCUCGAUACUGACGCUGAGGUGCGAAAGCGUGGGGAGCAAACA